ACAUGGAACAGACCCAAGCCAAGCCCAGCUGAGUUCAGCCAACCUGUGGACCCAAGAGUAAAAAGAAAGAUAUGUCUGCUGUAAGCCACUGAGAUCUGGGGAUUAUUUGUUACAUAGCCAUGUCACAGCCACGCCUGACUAAUGAGUGUUCAUGAUUUUCUUUACAUGGAACCGCUCUAAUACUUGGAUCUGAGAUGCUCACUCUGAUGCAUAUCACUGAAGAAUUGAGGUCUAAGAAGCAGUCUUUUCCCCUUCAGACUUCUUUCCAUGGCCUCUUCCCAGAAUGUGCAUCUCCUACAUUUUCAGGACAGUUAAUCGCAUUGAAAAAUUCUGUCCAACAAGCCACUCUACAGACUCUCAGCCCUGCCAGUGCCUGACAAGGGCUAUUCUUGUUGUGGGAGGACCUCAGCUUUAUGGGGAGGAUGAUGGGGCUGAAGCUCAGAGAGACAGAGGGGCCUACGAAGCUGCAGCAGCAGGAGCAGAAAGCACAGCCGUAGGGCCUUCUGGAAAGAACAGAGAAGAGGAGCGGCCCUAUGCUGGCGCCGCACGAGGACAUCGUAAACCUGAACCAGGAUGUUCUUUGUGAUGACAGGGUAAUGCGGAGGUGGACGGAGUUGUUGGUAUGAGGGAUCAAGCUGUUCUAUUCAGGAGGGAAUGAAGAGUGAUGAGAAGAGAUGCUGCUCAAGCUGCUCAGAGCCUAGAGGGGGGGCCUGAGACCUUAAAGAAGCAGACAGAAGGAGGAAGGGAGGAUCACGGGCCUUUCGUCAGUUCUACACGGUGUCACUUUAGGGCAGAUUUCACGUGGGUGGCAGAGCUGAGCCUUUGCCGCGUGUUCCAGCUCCCAACUCCAUCCCUUUCUGGAUUCCCUGCUGGACACGUUCUUUCCUCUGGGACUAGCACACUUGGAUUUGGCUCAGUUCCUUCUGGAAGCUGAAGAUGAGCAGGAAGGAAGGAUCACGGGCCUUUCGUCGGUUCUACACGAUGUCACUUUACGGCAGAUUUCACGUGGGUGGCAGAGCUGAGCCUUUGCCGCGUGUUCCAGCUCCCAACUCCAUCCCUUUCUGGAUUCCCUGCUGGACACGUUCUUUCCUCUGGGACUAGCACACUUGGAUUUGGCUCAGUUCCUUCUGGAAGCUGAAGAUGAGCAGGUAAGUUCCCUUUCCACUUCUGGGCAUUUACCUGGUCCUGGAUAGUUGUGACCCAGUGCUCAGUCUGGCAUUUUUGGUUUGCCUGCUCAGGUUUCUUUUUGUGUUUGAUGUUGAGAUUUUGAAGUUUGCCUUUUCUGUGCCGGUGAGUCUAGUGUCCUGGGUCUGGCAUUCCCGAGCCUAACUUCAAAUACACAGGCUACCUUCUUCUCCUGCUUCUUUUCCAAGCAUGGCUUAUUAAUUCAGCUGAACAAUGUUGUUGCUAUUUCUAUUGACUGUAAGGUGAUGUGAGAGGCGGGGCUAUGGUGAUAAGGGGGUGGAGCCAUGGUGAUGAGGGAGAUGGAAAAGUCAAGAGAUUGAAAAGUCAAGAGUUGAGUCUCAUCCUUGCUCUUACGUCUCCUGAAAUUCUGGAUCAAGACCCUCAGAGUGUAGUAGUAACCAGCCUGAAAGUGCCUGUUACUCUUUUGAAAACCAUCGGCAUUGUUUUGGGGCCUGCCAGACUCUGAGGUCCUCGGGGGAGGCAGACACACAAUCUCACUGCUGACUGCCAGGGGUAUCCCAGGAAUGCAUCUCCANUUUUUUUUUUUUUUUUUUUUUUUUUUUUUUAGAAUGUAAAACAUAUUUUCUUGUGCAUGGCAGUUCUAUGAAAACUGAUUAAGAUUCUUGACUGUUCUUCAAAAUCUUUUAAAAUGCUAGGAAGUAAGUAAACAGGAGUUUGUUAAAUUAUUUUCUGUUUUUGUUUUUUCUGGUAUGUUUGAAAUAUUUCAUAUGUAAAAAUAAAAUAAUUCAAUUUAAUGCAUAGUAUUCUGACCUCCGUGCAUCCUGGGAAGAGGGUCAAUAGAGAUGAGGGAGGGGAAGUUAAGGAAGGAAGACAAUUCUCUUUCUCUUGAUUUGUUUUGGGCACAACUUUGAAACAGGGUAGCUAUGUCCUUGGCUUUUUCAUGCUUUCCCUUCUGCAACCUCACCUGCCUCUCACUUCAUCCAGGGUGACAGUCCCAUUCCAGGCAGCCCUUGAACACUGUACUUUCCAAAUGUUCUCUGCCUUCAAAAUUGGGGUGUGGCUAGAAGUGUUUCGAAAGUGCUUCAAUUAUCUAUUGAUGCUCAAUAAAUUGUCUUGAAAUGUGGUGUCUUAAAACAGCUAUUUUAUUUGGUCACACCCUAUGGGUCAGGGAAGUAGGAUAGGGCAUAUGGGGAUAGAUGGUUGACAGUCUGUGUGUGAUCCAUGAUGUCUGGUCAGGAAAAGUUUAACAUUGAACAUAGUGAUUAGGAAUGUGGGGAUGUGGGAUCAGAUUGCUGGGGCCCAAAUCCUAGUUUUUCCAUGUAUUAGCUGAUGAAAUAAUGAUAAUCAUAGCCACUAACCUCAUAUGAGUAUUGUCUUCAAGUUGACUUUCAGGUGCAUUCUAGUAUUUAGUCUAGAUUGCCCAACUCUGCUGAUAAUGGUGGUAUUGUUAUAUUAUCAUUGCCAUUUACACUUAACCUUGAAAACUCAGCCUAGGCAUAUACAGGCAAGUUCUGGGGUUAGGCUGUUAAGGUCUCACAUGGGAAGGAUAGGCAUUUUGUCCUGUAGACAAAGAGGAAUUUCCAGCUGGGGAAUGACAGGAUCAAGCCCCUUCUCCCUCCCUUGUUCCUGCUCCCUCUGCCCUUUCUUCCUCAUUUCCUCUUCUCUCCCCACUUUAAAACGAUGACAGUAUGUUCAAGUUGUGCAAAUCAAAGGAAUAGAUUAGAAACAGGAGAAUAAAUGUGCUUAGCAGACCCAGGAAAUCUCCAGGGGAUUGGAAUUGAUUACCCAGCAUGUAAUAUACAAAACCAUCAUUUUUCUGCAUGUGGUGAACAAUGGAAGUGAAGUAACUCCCCACUCCAGUCCCCCUAAUCUGAUGGAAUUUUCUCAGUAAUGUUGUGGAGUCAUAGGGGUGAGCAUGCACCAACUGGGCCAAUUCCCACUGGCCUUUAUUUUCUGGAAGGGUUGGCAGCAGAGGAAGACCAGAACCUUUUCCAGUGCACAUACCUACUUUAAUUUGGAGAGGAUUCUGCGUGUCCUGGGAGAUGCUGCGACCUUGGGAAGUUGUGUGGAUGAAAAGAUACAUGCUUUAUAUCAGAGACUUAAAAAAUAUAUCCUGUUAUCUUUCGCCAUGUAAGGAAGGACUUUACAUGGGAUCUGUGUGAACCCCAUAUGGUCCCAUUGUCAUCUGGGGUGGUCCUGGUAUUGGACUUCACUGGAUCCAACAGGGCCAAAUUUACUUCAGUAAUUGGAAAAUCUUGACUGUAUGAUGGGUGCAGGUUGGAGAAUGUUAGGCAGUCAUAAGCUUCAGAGUUUGUUUUGUAGUUCCUUUUAGUUUCAGUUGAGAUUGGCCAUAAGAACUUCGCUUUUCAUGGGUUCAAGUAACCAUGGGGCUGAAUUUCACUUAGUUCUCAUCUUUUUUUUUGAUUCUGAAGGUUGGAUUUAUUUGAAUAAAGGGACAAGGGUAACAUGAGCUGCCAACCUAUAUGACGUUUUUGUAUGUAGUAGAAAAAAGCACUCUUUUAUGGCAUAUGUAGCACAUCAGAGUCAUGACUUAGGAGCAAGCAUGGCUAUAUUUUAGCCCCCUAGUUAUCUCCUGAAGGGAGAGUCUAUGCAGUGCCCAACUCACACGUCCAAAUGUGGCAGCCUUGUGUGAAGGGAAAGUAUAUAAUAAUAGGCUGACUUAGUAAUUCAGAAGUGUGCCUGAGCUUGGGACAUCCUUUCUGAUUCAGUAGGUUUUGAUUAGUGGCUUAGAGUUUCUGAUUUAGUAGGUCUGAGGUAGGGCCCAAGAAUUUGGAUUUCUAGUAGGUUCCUAAGUGAUGCCAGUAACCCUGGCCUGGGAGUUACAUUUCGAGCACCACUUCUGUGGGGUAUAAUUCCAUGACCCAGAUUUCCUCACUUCCAGGUGCUAGUUACCUGAUUUGCUCAUCAAACUCAAAUAUGCUUCUUUAUACAGUGGUGUAGGUUGGUCCCAAAUAUAUGGCUUCACUGAAACUUUCUGGAAGAGGAUUCUUCUAGCUGUUUUCCUAGCACUUACUUCCCUGUACUCUAGGAGGCCAUUGAUAAAUUUGGGUCUGUGGCACCUCAACCAGCUCAGCCAUCAGCAUCAGAGUAGAGUUGAACCAGUUCUCCUUUUCUAGACCCUUUGUAUCCUUCAUAAUUCUCUCCUGGAGUAUUGCUUCUUGGACUCAAAUGUCGCGUGCUUGAUUUUAGUCUAGAGAUUUAUUUUUAUAUAGUCUGGAGAAAACACUGCUAUUUUUGUCAUCUAAGUGCAAAAAACAAAACAAAACUUAGUGUACUAGGAAAUUAUGCAGAGACAGUUUAAUACUUGGACAACUUAAAACAUGUGUGCACAUGCACAGGGGCUUUCUCAGAGACAUCACUGAGUGAAUAAUAGGCUGCCUGGGCCCUUACAGCAGAGCCAAUGAAAUUUAGUUUUGCUCGAGUUUGGUUAUUGGUGUUAUGAUGCUCCCUCUGGGCCAUCAAGGAGUGAAACUGGGGCGCUCAUUUUUGGAGCUGUUGAAGUUUCAAGCUCCUUUGAGGUAUUGGCAGUGGGCUUGGCAUGCUUUCAGAUGUGGAUGGCUUUCCCACUAAUACCUCACAGGCCCAUGGGACAUUUUUUUAAAAGUUUGAGCACCAAGUCAACCCAUCUCCUUAGUGGCAGUAGUUGCUUUAUCUGUGAGAAUAACUGUCCUUCUUAGCUUCUCAAUUUGUCACCUGUGCAGUGAUUUAUUACCUUCCAAAGCUGCAGUAAUUAUAUAAUGAUGCAAAAAUAAUGACAAGCCAUUCUGAUAAACUUUAUUACCUGUAGCAUCUUGUAUUCAAACUGCAUUCUAGCACACUCUGUAGGAUUACCAAGCACCCCUACAUGUGUGACAGCCAGCAGGGAGGGCGGCUUCUCAGGUCUGAGAGGAAAAGAGGAAAAGAAACAGGAUUCAAGCUUCCUGAACAGAGGCUGGGAAGAAUUGGGUUGGGGUGAGUUGAUUCCCAUUUGGGGCACAGGCCAAAUGGACUUAUCUCCAUUUAUAUCCCAACAAUUCAGUAUUUACUUGCCUAUUUUAAAUUGGGGCUAUAGAAUUGGCUCUUUAAACAAUCUUCAAUGAAAUAUAUAGUCAAAAGAAUGUAUAUAAAUGAUGUGCAGUUGAACUCUUAUUUUUAUCUUGAACCCGCACCUUUAGAGCCUCUCCUUUUUAUCAGAUGACAAAGUUUCCCCUGGAGCUGUGUUGCGAGGCACUGUCCAGUGUUCUAGUCUUGAGAGUGAAGGACUCAAGAAGGCUGACUUACAAAGUAACUUUCAGAUUUGCUUCUCAUUUUGGAAAAAUAUCUGAACUUAAAAUAUCUUUCAUGGGGAGUUGAGAACUGAGAUACAAAAUCAUAAUGUGGCUGGUAAGAGAGUUCUUUUAGUAAAUGCAGCUUGCCUAAUUUGGGUCUGUGGUUGGAGGGUCAGGUCUUCAAUUAUUUUCCUGAACCGAGGAGUAAUGAAGUCCCUAUAGCUGACUGUGGAGGCCAGGAUAAUGGAUAGGGGUCCUGUGCUGUCUUCCAUCUCCUUCCUGAUGACCAGCCAGUGACCUCAGGCAAUGCUUGUUUCUUUUAUGAUGGAUUCUCCUGGGAUUGUACCAGGGGGCUUAGGCCAGGCCUGUGUCCAGAGUUGGGCGGAGGUGCUUAAAAAUGAGGAAAAGUCAUGAUUAUAUCAGAGUACAGAUGAUUCCAGUACUACCAGUGCCCACAUUUCUCAUCUUGACAGGCUCUUAGUUGGAUUACAUUUCCUAGCCUCUUUUAUAGUUAGAUGGGAACAUGUGACCUAUUCUGACCAAUAGAAUGUAGGUAUUUCCAGGACCGGCCAUAAAUCUCCCAAGCGUGGCUCUCCCUUCUCUUUUUCUACCGCCUGACACCAGAGAAGGACUAUGUAAGACAGAAGAACUGUAGAUGGAAGUGGCCUUAGAAGUUGAGUUACUUCUUAAAGGAGAGACUCCUAGGAGUCCACAGAACUGUAAUGUGAAAGAGAAAUCUUUUUUUGUGUUAAAACAUUGAAGUUCCAGGGUCAACUUGUUAGUCUAGCAUAAUUUACCCUGUUCUGACUUCUUGGCUCUGAGAAUCUGUGGAUGAGGUUAUUCCUAUGCCCACAACUAUGCCUAGGCCUCCUGAAAUCUGGCCCAGGUCUUUCUAGGGUCACAUCUGCUAGGGGUUGAAUUGGAGCUGUAGCUGCCAGGCCACAGCAACGCUGGGUCCCUAACCCACUGAGAAAGGCCACGGAUUUAACCCACAUCCUCAUGGAUACUAGUGGCGUUCAUUAUGGCCUAGGUCUUUCUGAUUGGCCAAGGCUGUGCUUUCUUCUUCUGAGUUCUCAAAAUUGGGAAGUAUCUCAGCAUGAGAAUGGUGAUUUGAACCCUGGAGAGUCCAGAUCUGUAGAUGCUGUCAGGGAGGUGGUGGUUUCAAGGCAAGGGCUAGGCAGGGCUUCUCAGUCUUGGCACUAUUGACAGUGGGGCCGGAUGGUUCUUAGUGGUGGGGACAGACUGGACAUUGUGAGAUGCUUAGCAGCAUCCCUGCUAGAUACCAAUAGUGCUUUCCACCUCCCUACAAAUUAUGACCAUCAAAAUAUCUCAAGACGUUAUUAAAGGUCCCUGGGGGAAGGGGGAAAAUCACCCUUAGUUGAGAACCACUGGUCUAGACAAAGGCAAAUCCCCAGCUUUAGACCUCAGGAGCACGAGUUUUCCUCUCUGCUUUUCCCUACUUCAUAUCAUGGAUUGAAGCAGUCUUUGUUUCCUCAUAAUACAUGAGGACCAGAGCUGGCGUUUUUUGCCAUUUGAGACUCUCCAGGAGUGGAGCACAUCAUCUCCACUGGCUUCCUUCCUUCCCUCAUAUUAGUAUCUGUAGCUGCAAAACAAAUUCCUUCAAAACUUAGUGGCUUAAAGCAACAAUAACUUACUAUAUUGCAGUUUCUGUGGGUCGGGAAUUUACGAAUAGCUUUGGUGGGUAGCUCUGGCCGAGGGUCUCACAUGUGGUUGCAGUCAAAAUGUUGGCGGCAGUCCAGUCCUCUGAAAGCUUGAUUGGGGAUGGAGAAAUUUGUUUCCAAAAUGGUCCCUCAGGUGGUUGUGGGCAGGAGACCUCAGUUCCUCACCAUGUAGGCUUCUGCAAAGUCUUCCUGGGCAUCCUUACAACGUGACAGCUGAUAAGAGCAAGUGGUUCAAUAGAAAGAGAAAAUGAGGAAGAAGCCUUGGGAUCUUUUAUGAUCUGAAGUCACACGCCACCACUUCUGCUUUUCUAUAGUCACUCAAAGCAAAUCACUAAGUUGGGCACCUGUUCCAGAGAAGGAGAAUUGGCCUCCACCUCUUGGAGGGAGGAGUGAAAAAGGAUGUGUGGACAUAUUUUGAAACUAUCACAUCCAGUACCAAGCUUUCUUUGCUUAGCUACACUGGGCUACUCUCCAACCCUUGACACAUGAGGUGUAUUCUUAGAUUUUGAACUCCCCCUACAGUACUUUUGCCCCAUCUUCCAGAUUUCCAAUUCUCACUGGACUGUAGCCUUACCCAGGAGUUACCUUUGGAAAAGAUCUGAUGAACUCAUUCAGGCAGGUUGUAAAAUAAAAAAAAAAAAAAAAAA
rnacentral:lncRNA from 1 species